UACGUAGGGGGCAAGCGUUGUCCGGAAUUAUUGGGCGUAAAGCGCGUGUAGGCGGUUCAGUAAGUCUGCUGUGAAAGUCCAGGGCUCAACCCUGGGAUGCCGGUGGAUACUGCUGGGCUAGAGUACGGAAGAGGCGAGUGGAAUUCCCGGUGUAGCGGUGAAAUGCGCAGAUAUCGGGAGGAACACCUAUUGCGAAGGCAGCUCGCUGGGACGUUACUGACGCUGAGGAGCGAAAGCGUGGGGAGCGAACAGG
rnacentral:rRNA from 1 species